CUGUAAGGUCAAGAAUAUAUUUUUUUAAAAAGGCUGAUUUCAGCCAUCACUGCUGAGCACUGGGUUUUGUUCACCUUCCUCUGUCCCCAAAGCUGCUGCUGGCAGCAGCUUGAAAACCAGGGUCAGAGUUCUCCCAGGAGAAGGGCUGGUGAUCCCAGAUUUCAGCGUGGUGCCGAGAGCUUAUGGCUCUGCUCACCCGAGGAGAUGUGAGGAGGACACCAGAGGACAACCACGAGAUGUUCCAGUUAUGCUUCUGGCAAAUUCACCCCGUUCCCAGAAAGCUGCUGCAUCCCUCCGGCACAGCCUGCAGCCGGGAUGUGCUCCCUGCAAACUAAAGCACCCAAAAUAACUCAGAAUAGGGAAAGGAAAAAAAAAAAGACAUUGAGUAGUCGGGUUUAUCUGUCUGGGCACAUGAAUAGCCGCCGUGUAAAAACCAGCUGAGCCCGCAACGCUUGGAAACAAAGGGACUGGGGGGGAGGCGUCUUUUUGUGCUUGGCUUUGCUCCCUUCAGAGCAUCCUUGGGCUGCGAGAGCCCGUCCUGUCGGCACCCGAAACAAAGGAAAGCCGGGAGCUGUAGGCAGGAGCCAGCUGGGGAAAACCGGGACGAGGAGGAGGAGGAGGAGGAGGAGGAACCCGCAUCGCCCUCCCCGGCAGCUGCGGAGCCGGGCUCGCGUGUUGCCGAACACGUUAUCCAUGGCAGGAAACUCGAGAUCAAAGGCGAGAAGCGUGCCAGAGCAAGAUGUCAUCCAAAGCCUCCUGCCAAAGGUGUGCACGGGAGGGGGGAAGCAGCCCCCGGACACACACGCUGGCACAUCCGACGGAGCCGGGGUGACCGAGACCCACGCGUGCUCUCCUCCCUGCACCCCGGCCGAAGACAAAGGCAGGCUGAACCGAGCAAACGAAAUAAACCAAAACCCCGAACCGCGGGAGGUGCAUUUCUACCCGUGGGCUUGCAGUCCCCAGGGUGCCACGCAGGUCCCCUGCCAAAGCAGGGAGGGCACGGCAGGAACGGCAGCCCAGUGUAACUCCAAAAAAGCAGCUUUUCCCAUUUCUGGGUGGCUAUUUUUUUUUCUUUUUCUUUUAAAGCAGAAGAAACCCGCACCGUCCUGUCUCAGCCCCAGGAAAGCAAAGGGACGUGUCUGAUUCCAAGCCAGCGGGAGCAGAGGCUGCGCGGAGAGACUGGACACAGCAGUCCCAGUGCUGUGACAGCAGGGACACUGGGAUGAGCAUCCCGGGCUCUGUGACAGCAGGGACACUGGGAUGAGCAUCCCGGUGCUGGGACAGGAUGGACACUGGGAUGAGCAUCCCGGUGCUGUGACAGGAUGGACACUGGGAUGCGCAUCCCGGGCUCCCGGCGCUGCCCUCGGCAUUCCCGGGCGCUGGGGCAGGAGCCGAUCCGCUGGAUGCUUUCACUGGGCGAAGCCUUACUGCCGCUGUGGGAAUCCCCGCUCGGCACGGGAAGGAUGCGCCUGGGCACGCCGGAGCUGCGAGUCCUGGUGUCGGGAAGAGCCUGCGGAGCCCCGCUGCCGGCAGCUGCCGGGACGGGACGGAUUUGGGAAGCAAAUGCUCUCGGAAAAUCGAGUUCUGCCGUUCCUCCCACGCGGGCCGGCCCUGGGCACCGCGGAGCUGCAGCUGCAGGGGAGGGAGUGCUGCGAGCCUGUCCUUGGCACCGAGUCAUGGAAUUGUUUGGGUGGGAAGGGACCUUAAAGCUCAUCUUGUUCCACCCCACUGCCAUGUCAGGGACACCUUCCACUAGAUCAAGUUGUUCCCAACCUGGCCUUGGACUCUUCCAGGGAUCCAGGGCAGCCACAGCUUCUCUGGGUAAUUUGUGCCAGGGCCUCCCCACCCUCACAGGGAAGAAUUUCUUCCUAAUAUCGAUCUAACCCUGCCCUCUGUCAUUGUGGAACCACUCCACUUUUUCCUGAUGAGAAAAGUUCUGGCUCUUGUCCCAGGUCCCUCUCCAGCUCUCCUGGAGCCCCUUUAGGCUCUGAGCUCUCCCUGGAGCCUUCUCUUGUCCAGGUGAGCACCCCCAACUCUCCCAGCCUGGCUCCAGAGGGGCUCCAGCCCUUGGAGCAGCUCUGUGGCCUCCUCUGGACUGGCUCCAGCAGUUCCAGGUCCUUCUGAUGUCGGGGAUCCCAGGGCUGGAGCAGCUCUGCAGGUGGGGUCUCACCUGAGCAGGGCAGAGGAGCAAAAUCCCACCCCUUCCCCUGCUGCCCACGCUGGGGGAUCGGACCAGGGCCUUCUGUGCUGCCAGCACUCACAGCCAGGGAUGCCAGCCUCUUUCCCUGGAUGAGAGAAAAUAAAAACCACCCAAAAUGGCCCCUCAGCCCUCCGGACAUGGGCAAGGCAGGGUGUCUGCUGUGACUCCAGUGCUGGCACAGGGCUCCUGGACAUUGCCUUGUGCCCAGGGUCUACUGCCAGUUACAGACAGCAGCUCCCGUGGUGCAGCACCCUCCCUGCCUCAGUUUCCCUUUGCUGCCUGCAUGGGCACACAGCCAAGGGAGUCCCCCUCAGUGGAAGGCGAAGGCUGGAUGGGCAGAGUCCUUCCUGCCUGAGUGUUGGCAGAGAGAGGAUGCGGGGUGAGAGCACCCAAAUUCAGCAAAUUGGGGGUGUGGGGAUGCAGCUGAUUCCCUCCCUGGCCAUGGAGGGAAGCACACUGCUCACUUUCUCUCUGCUCCACACGUGUUCUUGUUAACAACACCUUGUAUGUAUGAGAAAAUCCUGUUUUUCCUACUGGAUGAGUGAAGGCACUCGGGAUCCAGCCCGGCUGCAUGCCUGGACCUUACGGAGAUGGGGUGAUAAGGGAGGGUGGGUCUGUCCCAUGGGAAGGUGGAAGAUGUCUCCUUUCUCCUCUCAUUCCUCUCUGGCAGUGCUGGACUACGAAUGCCACAGCAGAUCUGUCGUCACUCCAAUUCAAAUGGGGUGGCAAGUGCAGGGAUGGCACUGAAGUGUCCCUGGAAAGCAGGUGGAGGCUGGAGUGGUGGCAGCAGCCCUGUCACUGCCUCCCGCAGCCUGUCAGGAUCUCCUGCUCCGCUGAAAGUUUCUUCUCUGAAAGGAUGGUCAAGCCCUGAGAGGUGCCCAGGGCAGUGGUGGAAUCCCACCCCUGGAAGGAUUUAAAAGCUGUAUGGAUGUGGCACUUGGGGACAGGGGUCAGUGGUGGGAUUGGCAGUGAUUGGGGGAACAGCUGUACUCGAUGAUCUUAGAGGGCUUUUCUGGCCUUAAUAAUUCCAUGAUUCUCUGAUCUACUCCCACACCUUUUCCUCUGUGGUGAAGAGGACCUCCAGCAUCACCAGCCUGGCCAAGCCCAUCACAGAGGUUGGGAGACCUGGUGGGCAGAGGAAGGGUUGGGUUCCUGCAGGUCAUCCCUUUCCUUGGUCCCAUAGCACUUCCUGGGUCCAGUGAGGGCAGUCCCUCACUGGAAAAAUAUCCACCUCACUUUUCUCUUUUCUCCCUCUUCUGUUUUUUCCCUUCUUCAUCCCUCCUGCCUGCUCACUCUCCCCAUUCCCUGCCUCCCCUUCUCCCCUCCUUUCCCUCGAGGUCUCUGGGGUGGCCGUGCCAGCUGAUCCAAGAUCCCUGUCCCCUCUCAGCCAAGGACACUUGCUGGUUAAUGGUUGGGCUGGAUGACCUUAGGGCGCUUUCCCGACCUUAAUGAUUUUAUGAUUCUAUAAAUAUCACAGAAUUUACGAUUCUAUAAAUAUCAGCGUGUGCCCAUCCCAUCUGUGCCCCUGACCUGUGGGGAGCCUCCCUCGCUGUGGUGGCAUUGCUCAGCAGGUACUGUCAGUUCUGUGCCCUGCUCAGGGUGCAGCCCUGCUUUCUCACCCCUUUUCUCCACCCCUUCCACGCUGCUUCUACCCCUGGCCAGCCCAAUGCAGAGCAGGGUGGAGCAGCACUGACUCUUCCUCUUCCUCUUCCUCAUAACAGCAAUUACCCGGGAGCUUUGAUUCAUUAACGACUUUGUGAGUCAAGCAAUGCUUUGGCAGGGCAUGCCCGGGGCUGACCCACCUCCCACCUCCCUCCUUGGCCUUUGCAUGCCCCGCUGAGCAGGUGGAGCAGGUGUUGCUCCUGGGUGGCAACCAAAACCCUGCUGCUCUUCCUCUUCCUCCUCAUCACGCUCCGAGGGGCUUGGCUGCAGCACAGGAUCCUGCCAACCCUAAUAGGAAAGGGGAAUUCAGGUAGUCACUGAUUGCAUCCAAGCUGGGAAGUAAAUUGGAGUGGAGCCUGCUUGCAGGUGCUUGGAGAUGAAAUAGCACAACCUGCAUCCAUGUGGGUCCAUCCCCUUCCUCCUGCUCCUGCCCCAAAAAUGGGCCAGGGGAAAAUGACCAACCUGGACAUCACCAGGCAAUGCUGAAAGUGUCAUUUAGGGACUCAGAGCCACAGGCUGGGACUAAUCCUGCUGGGAAUGUCCUGUCACCCUGAUUUUUAAAGAUUUUCUAAGCCUUCUGAUGUUUACAUUCUUGUAACAAACUUUCUCACACACUUUAUGUAAAUAACUUAUUGUUUUGCAUUCUUUUCUGGAGGAAGAGAAAUUUGAUGGACUGUUGGUUUGUCCAGAGUCAUUGGAGAGGUGGCACUUUCACCCUCCAAUCCACUGUCACUUUUGCAAAUCUGUAAAUGUUGGACUCAGAAAUUAAAAAGUCCUUUUUUACCUUGGAAA